rnacentral:rRNA from 1 species
CCAGACUCCUACGGGAGGCAGCAGUGAGGAAUAUUGGUCAAUGGGCGAGAGCCUGAACCAGCCAAGUCGCGUGAGGGAUGACUGCCCUAUGGGUUGUAAACCUCUUUUGUAUGGGGGGAAUAAGCUUUACGAGUAGAGUGAUGACAGUACCAUACGAAUAAGCAUCGGCUAACUCCGUGCCAGCAGCCGCGGUAAUACGUAGGUGGCAAGCGUUAUCCGGAUUUACUGGGUGUAAAGGGCGUGUAGGCGGGGAAGCAAGUCAGAUGUGAAAACCACGGGCUCAACCUGUGGCCUGCAUUUGAAACUGUUUUUCUUGAGUACUGGAGAGGCAGACGGAAUUCCUAGUGUAGCGGUGAAAUGCGUAGAUAUUAGGAGGAACACCAGUGGCGAAGGCGGUCUGCUGGACAGCAACUGACGCUGAGGCGCGAAAGCGUGGGGAGCAAACAGGAUUAGAUACCCCUGUA